AUGGCCGGAUCUCAAAAGAAAAUUAGACGCACCUUCGCCGCCGACCGCCUCUCCUCGCUAGGCGACGAUCUCCUCGAGCACAUCCUCUCCUUCGCGCCGGCGAAGGAGGCCGCGGCCAGCGCCGCCCUCUCGCGCCGAUGGCGCCCGCUCUGGCGCCGCGCGAGCGCCCUCAACCUCGACAGCAGGCCCUACUCAUCUGGCGCUGGCGGGUUUCACUAUCCCGACGCCCGCUUCGACGCCUUCUUCCGCGACGGCAAGGCCGCCCUCGCCAGCCGCCGCCGUGGGACGGCGCUCAAGCGGCUCACGGUCUUCCUCAAGGAAGGCGCCUACCACCCCCGCCGCGGCUCGUACUACAGGGUGCACGACGUGGAACCGGAGUGCGACGCCCGGGUCGCCGGCCUCCUCGCCGACCCCGCGGCCGCCGCGCUGGAGGAGCUCCGCAUCGCCGGCGAUCAUGCCUACAGUGGACUGUACGUCCCGCCGCUGGCCUCCCUGCCUUGCGCCGCCGCCACGCUCCGGUUCCUGGAGCUCCACCUCUGCAGCCUCCAGCCAGCAUCGCCGCCGUCGUCCGCGCGCCUCGCUUUCCCGCGGCUCACGGAUCUGUCGCUGCACGACUGCACUUACCUGGAGGGGUAUCUCCAGGCCGUGAUCGACGCCGCGCCGGCGCUAACCAGACUUGCGCUGGUGGACGUCACUAAGAAGCCGCCGAAGCCGACGGGUUCAGCCGAGGGUUCCUACUCCAGGUCCAAGCCUUCCAAUCUGCCCCUCUGCCUCCGCUGCCGGACGGUCACCGCCUUGGUGCUCGUGGUCAGUGUCUCCUUGGAGGAGCUCAAAGAUUCCCGCGACAUCGGCAUACAGCUCGACAUGCCGAGCCUGCGCUCCUUCCGCUACAAAGGGUUCCCCGUCAAUCUCUCGCUGACAUCGCCGGCGCCGGGGCUGACACAAGUCGACCUCGACACCAAUCGCCGCGAGCGGGACUUCUAUAAGCCCGAGUCUGCGGCGCGCAUGCUCGGGAGCUUCUCCAGCACGAGGGCCCUAAAGCUGCACAUCAACGGCAUCGAGGAAAUUUUCUCCGACGACGAGGUCAUCCUGCCGACCUUCCCGAACCUGAAGCUCCUCGAGAUAGACGCGAACUUCAAGUACAUGGACAUCAACGCGGACUACGCAGUGGCGACGCUGCUCCGCGCCUGCCCGGCGAUGUCGGAGCUCCGGCUGAGGCUAAACAUGGCAUACGACUACGACUACGAUCGACAGAUGCAGGAACCACCCGGGGGCCCCUUCGCCCAGUCCGUGGAGAGAUUCAACAGGCUCGCGUCCAUACACCGAUCUUCAUCAAGAUUCAGUACCAUCAAAGAUCCAGUGCCGAUGGAAAAGACACCAUCAGUGACGUAA
rnacentral:rRNA from 1 species